AAUCCGAGGAACGGGUAGAAAUUGAAAUACUAAUGAGAAAUUUAAAAAGAGAAGCAUUAGGCCUGCAGAAAUGCCACACAGAAACACAUAGAAUCCCCUUGGCACAUGCUGAAACAGCUUUUUUCCUAAGAGCCAAUGAAUCAGUUGAGUUUUGUCUUUAGCAGCAAUAGCUCAGCAUCCCAGGGACUUCCCAGGCAGAUUUUCAUAAGCUAAAGUAACCACAGUUCAGAUCUCAUUUUAGCUCCACACAGAUGUGCAGGAUGGGUCAAAAGGAAAGUAGGUAAGGGGAAUCUGGCAGCAGAUUUUGGUGACCCAAGUGGCACAUGAAGAACUGUCACAUUUUAGGUGUAAUGGCUGGCUCUGAACGUUUGAAAACUGCUGAAGUAAACCCUACGGUUGGUGUGGCUCACGUAAAAAAAUUACCUGUGGGACAGGGCAGUUUACUCACGUUUAAAUUUGGGGAUCCCAGAAGAAUCAUAAUUUCAUCUAUGAGCCUUAAGAGAGUGAGAAACGUUGGGUCCUUGUAGUCAAACCUGUCCCCAAAGAGCAUGACGAAGGUGACGUUGAUGGGAGCGCAGUUGAAGGAGGGCAGGAUGAAAGGUUCCCCUGCAGCGGCAGCGGGGUGGGAAAGCUGUGAGUCGUGGAGCAGCUGUGACACACAGGGGGCUGGACAGCCCCAGCACGGCCCCCAGCUCACCUUUGAAGGAUUUGAUCAUCUCGAUGAGGAAGUGGAGCUCCUCGAAGAUCCUGCCUUCGAUCAUCUGUUUGCCCAUGCCGAGGUUGCGCAUGCUGGACACGGUGAACCUGCGCGUUGUCCUCCACAGCUCCCCGAUGGAGAAGAACAGACCUGGGCAGCCCGUGAGAAAUGUGCUGGGCUCAGGCACGGAGGAGCCCCCCACACCACACCAAACAGGGUGGGGAGCAGGGAGCUGCACAGGUUUUUUUUUUCACAUGGAUUUAGGGACUAAAGGUCUCCCCUUUCUGUGUGCCUCAUCCCUGCAUCCUCUCAGCUCCAUCCUCACUGAGCUGUAGCUUGGGAAAAGCAAGCUCCCUCCCAGCCCAGUGACCCCAGUCCUCUCCUGAGUGGCAGAUGGGCAGGUGUGGCUUUCAGACCAGUGUGGGUUGGCUGUAGAGCUGGGGGGAGAUGUUGGUUUGAGUUAGUCACGGGACAUUUUUGGCCCUGCUGGUUGCAAGUCUAGGGCCUCAAGCAGCUUGUGUGUCUGAAGCUUCUCCCUUCAUCCUGUUUUAGUCAUAAAGGUAAUUUAUUGUGUGGGAUGGGAUAAUUCAGUCUCCUCCACCCUGAAAUGUUUUAUGGAGAUUCCCAGCAGUGCUGUAUUUUCAGCAGUGGUGAAAAUACUGACAUUUUUGUGGAGGUUUCUGAGCUCAUGCCACGAUGAUCUCUAGCACCUCCAAGCAGGGAUGGGUAUUUCAUCCUGUUAGAGUGCUGUAAAGAAAAAGUUGGGUCAAUAAUCCAAAAAUUAUCUCAGAUUGUGGUCAGUUGAAAAGCUGUAUGCCAGCAUUUCACAUCUCCAUCGUGGCUGUGAGGCUUUUAAAUAUGUUUGCUUUUCUGUUUUGAAGCAGUGUAAUUUUAAUUUGGGUAGCAAAACUUUUUGUUCUAAAAAUAUCAGAUCAAAUUUCUAAACUUCAAUUUUUAAUUUUUCUUUAAUUUAUUCAAUUUCAUCUGGAAAAUUCCUUUUCUGAGAGCAUCUUCACAAAGUCAACAAAUUGGCAUAUUCUGAAGAAAAAAUGUUUCAUGGGAAAAUUUGUGACCAUUGUUGCUUUACAGCCCCUGAGAGCUCCCAUCUUUGAGUCACCUCUAAGUGCCUCAGACUUGGGCUGAAAAGGUAAAUGUGAAAGGACUUAUGAUGCAAUACUGAUAUUCUCCCACAGAGAUGUUUUACAUGUAAAUUAGCCCUAAAAAAUGCCUUUCUCCUCUUCAAUUCCUUUUAUUUGUGUAGUGAUAAAUUAAUCUAUUCAUAUUAUGGCUGGGUAAUUUUAUUUCUGAUUCUAAUCCCAACUUCAGCCUGUGACCAACAUAUAAAGCUUCCUUUUGGGUCUCCCAGCUAAAGCCUCACAUGAAGCAGAGGAUGGACAAAGCAAAAAGUCCUCUGAAGUAGUCAGGGGUGGAAAAAAUAUGGGAUUGUUUGUGGGAGUGGAUUUCCAGCCUCAGCCUCUUGCUUCUGAAGCUGUUUCAGGCUGGACUUCCUGAGAACUUUUGUGAGGAGGCAAAGGUGUGGGAACUGACAUGACAAAGGCAGUGGGAGAAAGGGAAAAUCCCGACAGCUCCCAACAGCCGAGCCAGGUAGUCCAAAGUCUCCUGGAAACAUGAGGAGGGUUCAUAAACCAGUGGUGACAGUGAGCUUCUCACACCAACAUCUCACAGAGAUUAACCCCAGAGUUACCACAGUGCCUUCAAAAAUCCCACUCCUCCCACCCCUCAACUCUUUGGAUAUGGAUGGGCUGCAAGUGCAUCAGCAGAAAUGAUGGAAAGCCAGGAGCCACUGCGUGCAAGGAAAGCCAAACAUUUGCUGUCACUUGGCUCCAGAAGGGCCCAAGGGCAUGUUUAAAAGCUGGGCUCCAGGGAUGCACAGUUGGGCUGUGCCUCAUCAUCAUCAUCAUCAUCAUCAUGGGCACUAAAUGACAGCGUUGUCCCUCCCACACCCCCAGUCAUUGCUCUAGUACCAUUUCUGUUCUGAAUUUGGUCAAAUAUUGGGAUGGAUGGUCUGUCUACAAACUCCUCUGUGUAGUUCACAAGCGCCUCUCGCACAACUUCGUACCCGGUCAGGACCACAACUUUCUGGAACCCAAAGUGCAGGGUGAAGAUGGGGCCGUAUUUUUCUGCAAGCUGAAAAAAGAGUCAAGCUGUGAUGGUCAGGAAUUGAGGGAGAGUGCAUAGAACAGCACCUUGUGCUGUCUGAAAGGACAUUUUUCAUCCUGGCAUCCUGCAGGGAAUGGCUGCAGAGUCACUACCUGCAGAAGGGCACCUUGUGAGCUCAUCAUGGUCAAACACAAGGCAUUUUGUACAGGUGCCUUGCUGGCAUCUGUAUGGAAUUCAGGCUUCUUGCCAUGAAGGAGCCCCCACCCCCAUCAGUGCAUCACUAAUCUGGCUUUGUUGUUGAGGAGAAAAUAAAUGGAAAACAAAAAACCAAAAAAAACCAAAACAUCUAAAGGCUGGACCUCAAAUGGCAGAUAAAGUUGGCAAACUGGAGAAAGACCAAAAAAAAGAAGAUAGUUCAGUGCAAAUAAUGAUUCUGUCAUAGAGGAAAUCUUUGGUCUGAUGCUCCUGAUGUACUAAAGCACUCCUGCAUCCUGCUAGGAGAGAAGCAGUGUCUCUUUCAUAGGACAAAGGGGGUAUCCCUCAUUGCCCACCCAACAAACCCCAGUCGGUGCCAGCUGCUUUGUGCAAACACCAUUUUUUGCUCUCCGUGGGGUGAGAUGGAGGGAUAACCCCUCUGGAGUAAUCCCAAAGCCAAGGCAAACAUAGACAAUAGCAAGCACAGCCAAGCAGGGGACAAAAGCACGCGGAGGUAAUUCCAAAGCGCCGUUCAGAGGCUGCAGCAGCGUCUGCCCAGCCCUGCUGGGUAAACUGACCCCAACCCUGACAUUGCCCAUAACAGCUCCAGGUGCUGGGGCCUCGCCCCAUGGCAGCACAGCCCGUGUUUGCUGAGCACGGGUGUCACAGGAGCAUGGACACCUGGCUGUGAACCCCCCUGCCUGUUUGCUCACUCUCUCCGUGACCCCAGCGUGGGUCAGCCCCGAGGGAGCCAUUCCUGAGAGAGCCAUCCCUGAGGGAGCCAUUCCCAGUGGAGCCAUUGCCAGUGGAGCCAUCCCCAAGGGAGCCAUCCCCGAGAGAGCCAUCCCCAAGGGAACCAUCCCUGAGGGAGCCAUCCCUGAGGGAACCAUCCCCGAGGGAACCAUCCGUGAGAGAGCCAUCCCCAAUGGAGCCAUCCCUAAUAGAGCCAUCCCUAAGGGAGCCAUCCCCAGUGGAGCCAUCCCCAGUGGAGCCAUCCCCAAUGGAGCCAUCCCUAAUGGAGCCAUCCCUGAGGGAACCAUCCCAAUGGAGCCAUCCCCAAUGGAACCAUCCCCUAAAACCAGGCGGGAAUGCCUGGCAGCCCCAGGAGCAGCCUCGUCCUGCACACAGUGGGGGCACAGCACAAACCAGGUGAGGCAUGGGAGUCAAGGUAAAGCCGACAUCAGCAGUGAGAUCCAGGUCUGACUUCUCCACUCCUGGAGGAGGCUGGAAAACAAAUUUGCGGAGCAAGCCUGAAAAGAAGAGGAACAGCUCCAUUCUGGCCAGUCCUUCACCAAGGCAAGCCCUUCGCCCUGAAAACAACCAGGGGAGAAGUCAAUGAUCAGCCCUUUAACUGUUAGUGUUGAUGUCUGAGACCUUCUAAGCAGGAGGUACAGUCUGGAAGAGCAGGCUGCUGAGGUCCACCACGUUCAGGUUCCCGAUCAGAGGAAGAGGUCGUGGCCCAGGGGGCAAAUUGCACACUGACUUCUUGGAGCUAGAGAGAAAGUAAAGGAGGGCAAACAGCCCUGCUGCCAAACAGAGCAGCGAGCUGGAGCCCAGGCACUGCAGGAGGCUCUGCACAGCCAUGUCCAAAGGCAGGGUCAGAACUCAAGGACAGGAGGCAUGCUGGGCUGCUGUCACUGUGCCAGCUCACAGGACUCAGCUGGACCACUGGUGCUGCACUGGAGGAAGCAAGACACAGGAGGGAAAGCUCACAACAGUGGCAAAAAAGCCCUCAGGGAGGACAAGACUGACCAGGGACAAGCUGGAAUGAUGGUUGCAUGAAGGGGGGCUGGUUCAGGAUUGCUGACAGGAGCAGAUCUAUUUACAGGUGACAGCUCUGAUUCUUUUUGCUUUCCUGCCGCCUCAGUAAAAUCACCUCCUUGAGCAAAGCAGCAUUUUUUAUUUCUAGCAUUGUUACUCUCUUUGUCCCAAAAAUCCCCUACCAGCAAUCCCAAAAUGCCCCUGACACCAUGCCAGUCACUAUUUGGCAGUUUAGUGCCCAGACAACCUGGUGUGCCUGGAUGGCCAAGCCUGCCUCAGCAAUUAGUGAUGACUCCCUGUUUAUGAACAGCUGCAUGCCAUCCUCUAGGAGAAACCAUCCCCUGCAGGCAAUCCUGGAUUGGGAAAGAGAUCCUGAAUCCUUGUAACCUGGGAGGAGCCAGGAUCAGACUGCAGCUGGCCGGGCAGAGGAUGGAGGAGGGAGGCAGGAGGAGCACAUGGCAGCAGUUCUGGCCCUGCAGGUACUGAGUCAUGUCCCAAGCCAGGGCAGGGUCCUGCAAGAGCCCACGUGCCCAGGUGACAGCUCCAAGAGCCACCCCCAUCCUCUGUAUCCUUGGGGGAUGACAACAAAGCACAAGUGACCAAGAACAGGAAGCCACUUGUAGAAAUGGUGGCUCUGGGGGAAGGAGCUGAUUUGAUGUUCUAUCUCAUAUUCUCCAGUGGGGAUAUUUUGCUCCCCAGUUGCAGAUUCUGGCAGAUUACUGGGCUCUGCUGCUGUUCAACCCUUUAGAAAUCUUUAAUUUAAUAAUUCUUUUGCUAGAAUUCUCCAAGGCUCUCAGGUGCAGGCUACACUGAUGGAAAAAUGAUGAUUAUUUAUUAAUAAUAAUAAAAGUACAUUAGCCAAAGGCAAGGGGAAUCAAUAAACUCUAACUAGAUUGACAUGAAAGAGCUGCCUGCAGAUCUGCCUGCUCUCCAAGGUUUGUUAUCAGGAGUGGUUUUUUACAAGGAGGAACUUUCCUGUGCAGAAGAGGACCAGGCAGGGUGUGCAAAGAAAGGAGGGCAGUGGAUGGUCACAUCCAUCUCAAGAUUUGCUGCACAGCUGAGAGGCCUUGGCCUGCACCCUCCUCUCCCAGACAUUUCCAAGAAUAUCCUGUUCUGCCAGAUUCUUCUCUGAAUAAAUGGUGUGACUACUGGGACUCCUGAGACUUUAUAAUAUGCAGUAAGAGGGAGGAAACAAACCCUGCAUGGGGCCAGUUGGGUACCAAAGGAGGAAAUCUGUUGCUGUUUACAUAGAACUCUGUUGGAGUAGAGCUGGCUGCUGCCAGGGCAAGAAAGAUCACCUUCCCUAGGUGAUUUUUUAGGACUUCAAUCUGUGGUGACAGUAUAGGGUGAGAUCCUUUCUCCAGCAGUGAGCCCAUGGACCUGCAGCCUGCUGGACUGAUGCCCUGUGAGAAAUGAGGGAUGAGCUCUGCAGAGAGAGGGAAUCUUUGCAGUUUUACAACAGAGCCAAUGUGAUGCCCUCACCCCCACUCCUUCCUCACAUCCCUCAGCUUCCAGGGUGCAAUCCUGAACACAGGCUUGCAGGGGAGGGUCCCACACAGGACUGGGGUAAAACAUUGCUCCCAGCUCACAUCUUUGUCUUUCUACCAGCCCAAGGCAGAAGCACUUUCAGGUGAGCAGAUUUUGUGGGCACAGCUCAGGGGACUCCUCAGUUCCUCCUGGACAAUGAGCCUGCACUUAAAGACCACAGUAACUCCUGUGUGCUCGUCUGGAGAAGGUCACAGACCUUCUCAUGGGACACAGGUUAACAGUGCUGCAGUAACUGUAGGAUAGUGCAGGGAAAGGCUUGUUAUAAGGCCAUAACUCAGUCAAUGACUGCUGAUAACAUCAUAAACCAGGAGACUGAGCACCAAGUGCUUGUGAGCCUUCCAGGGCUCUGCCACUGCUUUACAGCCCCUGGAGAUGCCUAUCAGCCCAUGCAUUGUUAUCAGGGACACAUAAAGCCUGAGCACACCCUAUUAAACAUUAACAUUUUUAAAGACCCAGAUGUGUUAAAACUCAGGCUGCUCCUUGCUAAUGGAUUUUGCUUGCCUUGACAAAUCCAGGGCAAAAAGAAAUCAAAAGCUUUCCGACUCUGACCUCUUUCAAUUUUUCAUCAUUAUUGCAUUGUUUUAUUGGAUUACACCCAUUUCUUCCCACCCUGCAAAUCUGUAUUUCUACAGGAUCACUGCAGGGUAGUGAUCAGUAUCUCAAGCGUUCACUUUGCUCAUUUUUAUAUAAAUAAUUCCUUAAUUUCUUUUCAUUCAUCUGUCAAAUCAGUGUGGGUUGCAAAUCUACUCUGGGAAGAAAGACUCCUGAAAAAAACAUAUUUAAAAAUCUUUAUUUCAUGGCUUUUUUUUUAAAAAGAGAUUCCUGGGUUUUGAUUUUUUUCCCCCCAUGUUCUGAGUUGAAAGAUUAUAUGUGAUGAGUCUGGUCACUGGGAGAAGAAAAUAAAAAAAUCUGUGCAUGAGAUUAGUGCAUUGUCCCUAGGGUGAGGGUAUUUCCCACUCAUGUUAAGCAUUUACCAUUCUUGUGAACUUUGUUGCUUUUAAAAGCCUCCUUCUUGGACUGAAUAGAUGCGAUUCCUUCAUGAGUCUCACCCAGUGAGAAAAUUCAUGGGAGAUCCUUGGCUUUGGUGCUGGUAAUGUACUUUUUAAUAUGCAUAUCUACAAAAAUAUUUGCAGUAAAAUCCCUUGUAAUUGUAGCUAGAGCUGCGAUCUUCCAGAUCUACAUUUAUACCAAGAAGUCAAGGCAGCCUAACCUGGGAGGUGAAUAUUGAGUAGGCUGGGUUAUUAAGAGAUUAUUUUCAAAAUAUAGCUGAUAAAUCAAAUACCUCAACACAGCUCCAAGGAUUUUUUGUUCUGGGUCUCUGGCUUCUGUCUCUCUCAACAACAUAUUGCAGAAAUUGUAUUAAUCCAAGAGAAAUUUGAGGUAUAUCAUGAAGGGUGAUUAGCUGGUAUCUACAGAAGCAGGGUCCCAGCAUCUUCCUUUUGGGCCCCUCUCUUGGUGCAGGUGGAGAUGUGGAUUUAGAUGUACCAGAACUGCAAUGAUCAAUUUAAGAUGAAGGUUUUUUUCGCUUCUCAGUGCAGUGUUGCUGUUUCUACAACAUUCCUCUCUAAACUGAUGAGGCUUUGGCUCAGUAAUUACAGAAAAUAAGCUAUCACUCUGUACAUCUUUAUAACAUAUUAAGGCCCUGACCUUAUUGGCAUGAAACUACGAUUUCCCUGUAAGUGCAAAACAAUAAUAUUUCAUUAAUCAUCCACAACAGAAAUCCCCAUUCCCCAGACUAUUCUGGCAAUAUUCUGCAUUUUUGCUUGUCUAGGAACCUGAAUUAAAAGGGAGAAAAAUGGUUUACAACAGCCUGUGGCAGUGAUGGAGCAAGAGGCCUUAUGUAAGAGCUGGCGGCGAGCUCGGCUCACGCAGGGAGGCGCAGCAAUGAGUGAUCCUGGGAGGAUGUUUCUCUGAGGUGUGUUCCCUGCCUGGGCUGGGAACAGCAGUCUCAAGGGCACAAAUUCCAGCAUCUGAAUGUGCUUGGUCUUGUUCAGCUCAUUAAUUCCCUACAGCUAUCCCAAGUCAAGCUAAGAAAUCCCCUGGUGCUUUACUCCGAGCCUUUCAUGGCUUGUCAAUAAAUUAUUUUCCAAUUAACUACCUGAUAAUUUGAGUCUGCAGGCUCUUAGAAGAGGCAGCGUGCUGAGAGAGAGAAAAUAAUGGAAGUCAUGGACGUUUCCCUGCCCGUAAAAUGAAUAAAGGUUCUUCUCUGGAGUGUUACUCAAUUUGGUGCUUCCAAAAAGUAAUGGUGAGUGUGUAAUAACUUCUUCUGAGGAGAUGUUUGUCCAGCUGGUGGAUAAACACCAGCACUGGAGUAACUUUUCAGCACUACCUGACAACAUUGGAAAAGAACAGUUUUACAUGUAACUUCAGCCCAUAAUUAAUGAUGAAAAGGAAUGAUUCAAGCAAAGGAUUUUUAUUUCUUUUUCAGUCUAUCAAGCUGUGCAACUUGAAAGGGGAAGAGCCAAGAUUUUCCCUAGGUUGGGAAGUCUUCUAAUUUGAGCAUUCUGAUUUUUGGCAAGGGCUCAGGACUCCAUACUGGAGAAACACUACAAAUUAUCUAAUCUCUCUUGUACAAUGGGCACCCUUUUGCUGAAGCAGCUAUUUCAGAUUUUCCUGCUGCAAUCAAAGUCUCUCACUCUUUUGAAAGAAAAUAUGUGAAAAGCAUUUAAUUCUGUUUGUGGCACUGCUCUUUGUGGCUCUGUUUUUGUUGAGUCCUUUUGGAACUGGUUGGUUUAAUCCACAAAUGAGGUUUUUUUCCUUCAUAAUGAUUAUCUAAUGGGGGUUUUAUUUGA